UACAGAGGUCCCAAGCGUUGUUCGGAUUCAUUGGGCGUAAAGGGCGCGUAGGCGGCUUGGCAAGUCUGGUGUGAAAUCCCGGGGCUCAACCCCGGAACUGCAUUGGAUACUGCCAUGCUAGAGUACUGGAGAGGAGAGUGGAAUUUACGGUGUAGCAGUGAAAUGCGUAGAUAUCGUAAGGAAGACCAGUGGCGAAGGCGAAGCUCUGGACAGUUACUGACGCUGAGGCACGAAGGCCAGGGGAGCAAACGGG
rnacentral:rRNA from 1 species